rnacentral:siRNA from 1 species
AGCAUCGGUGCUACGUAUCAU